rnacentral:rRNA from 1 species
GAUGAACGCUGGCGGCGUGCCUAAUACAUGCAAGUCGAGCGAACGGACGAGAAGCUUGCUUUUCUGAUGUUAGCGGCGGACGGGUGAGUAACACGUGGAUAACCUACCUAUAAGACUGGGAUAACUUCGGGAAACCGGAGCUAAUACCGGAUAAUAUUUUGAACCGCAUGGUUCAAAAGUGAAAGACGGUCUUGCUGUCACUUAUAGAUGGAUCCGCGCUGCAUUAGCUAGUUGGUAAGGUAACGGCUUACCAAGGCAACGAUGCAUAGCCGACCUGAGAGGGUGAUCGGCCACACUGGAACUGAGACACGGUCCAGACUCCUACGGGAGGCAGCAGUAGGGAAUCUUCCGCAAUGGGCGAAAGCCUGACGGAGCAACGCCGCGUGAGUGAUGAAGGUCUUCGGAUCGUAAAACUCUGUUAUUAGGGAAGAACAUAUGUGUAAGUAACUGUGCACAUCUUGACGGUACCUAAUCAGAAAGCCACGGCCAACUACGUGCCAGCAGCCGCGGUAAUACGUAGGUGGCAAGCGUUAUCCGGAAUUAUUGGGCGUAAAGCGCGCGUAGGCGGUUUUUUAAGUCUGAUGUGAAAGCCCACGGCUCAACCGUGGAGGGUCAUUGGAAACUGGAAAACUUGAGUGCAGAAGAGGAAAGUGGAAUUCCAUGUGUAGCGGUGAAAUGCGCAGAGAUGUGGAGGAACACCAGUGGCGAAGGCGACUUUCUGGUCUGUAACUGACGCUGAUGUGCGAAAGCGUGGGGAUCAAACAGGAUUAGAUACCCUGGUAGUCCACGCCGUAAACGAUGAGUGCUAAGUGUUAGGGGGUUUCCGCCCCUUAGUGCUGCAGCUAACGCAUUAAGCACUCCGCCUGGGGAGUACGACCGCAAGGUUGAAACUCAAAGGAAUUGACGGGGGCCCGCACAAGCGGUGGAGCAUGUGGUUUAAUUCGAAGCAACGCGAAGAACCUUACCAAAUCUUGACAUCCUUUGACAACUCUAGAGAUAGAGCCUUCCCCUUCGGGGGACAAAGUGACAGGUGGUGCAUGGUUGUCGUCAGCUCGUGUCGUGAGAUGUUGGGUUAAGUCCCGCAACGAGCGCAACCCUUAAGCUUAGUUGCCAUCAUUAAGUUGGGCACUCUAAGUUGACUGCCGGUGACAAACCGGAGGAAGGUGGGGAUGACGUCAAAUCAUCAUGCCCCUUAUGAUUUGGGCUACACACGUGCUACAAUGGACAAUACAAAGGGCAGCGAAACCGCGAGGUCAAGCAAAUCCCAUAAAGUUGUUCUCAGUUCGGAUUGUAGUCUGCAACUCGACUACAUGAAGCUGGAAUCGCUAGUAAUCGUAGAUCAGCAUGCUACGGUGAAUACGUUCCCGGGUCU